rnacentral:tRNA from 1 species
UACGUUUUAGUAUAGGAUGUACGUAAGAUUUUGAUUCUUAAAGUGUCGGUUUAACCCCCUCAGAUGUAA